GACAAACGCUGGCGGCGUGCCUAACACAUGCAAGUCGAGCGCGAAAGGGACCUUCGGGUCCCCUGAAAGCGGCGAACGGGUGAGUAACACGUGGGCAACCUGCCUCAAGGACUGGGAUAACUCCGGGAAACCGGGGCUAAUACCGGGCGAUGUCGUCUCGCGCAAGCGAGCCGACCAAAUGGUAGCUUCGGCUUCUGCCUUGAGAUGGGCCCGCGUCCUAUCAGCUUGUUGGUGAGGUAACGGCUCACCAAGGCUUCGACGGGUAGCUGGUCUGAGAGGAUGAUCAGCCACACUGGGACUGAGAUACGGCCCAGACUCCUACGGGAGGCUG
rnacentral:rRNA from 1 species